UUUUCAAGAGCACAAAACUGGCCACAGGAAAAGGAGGCAAUCAGCAAAGCCCCAUAGCACAACUACAGAAGAUUAUAAACCUGGGGGCCAGAGGGGAGAGUAGACAGGCAUUAUGACACAUAGUUGCAUCUGUAGAAUAACAGAGUGGGGAGGAGUGUGGUUAUGUCUCUUUAGCAUUAUGUAUGGUCAGAUUACAGGCUUAUAGCAUAACCAACUCUGUAACAGCACAUUAGGGUACAGGAUGUUACAAACGUGGCUAGGCAGAAUCUUGUAAUGUGCAUGUUACAGUUCAUAUUUACUAACAACACUCAAAAUUUACUGACAGUGCCACGAUGCAUAGGCCUUCUAACUGGUAUUAGAUUAUGCUAGGUCUCUUUUUGUUGAUGAAAUCGUAAAUAGACUUGCAUUGCUUAUUUAUUAUAAGUGACUUAAGCACUUGGAUUAAAGAGGAUAUGGAAAGAAAGGUUUAUAAAGUUUCAUGCCAUUCAAUUUCAAAUCUGUGCUGGAACACACAUUUCAGGGUCCUUCAGAAUCACCGUUUUAUUUUUUAAGCCACAUAUUAAACAGGGAUAUCCAGUUUAGGAAAUCUAUAUUGUAACAUAUUCACAGAACAUUAUAGAACCAAGGAUUACACUUCGCAAAGUUAAGAGGGGAAAAAGGAAAAUAGUAUUGAAAUAGAAAUCAUUCAAAUUUAAAUUUAGUUCACUUUUUAAAUGGAUUCUGGGACUUUAGGAACCUAAAUGCAAACUAAAUAUAGUAUGUGGCCACAACCCAGCUCAUUUUAAACACAAUGGUUUUUAGUGCGUGGGAAGGAUUAUUGCUGUGUACAUUUGCCUCAGGAAAACAAAAUGCAAGCCUCUUAGAGACCUUUAACCCUUCUAGGUCUUUUAGAAGACCCAAAUGCUCUGCAAAAAUGCCUGCAAAAGCCUCUGUGGCAUUAGUGGGGUUAAUGAUUAGGAUAUCCCCUGGUUAAACCAAAUAAAUGGGACAAAUGGUUCAAGGAUCCACCCCCGAAUUCUACAUUUUGCAUAUACAUCUACAUUACAAUGACAAAGGCUACUUAGAAAGUUCCUCAAGAGCUGAUUCAUUCAAGAGAUAAGGAAGAGUAUAAAAUUCAAGGCAGGGAAGCAGAAGGUGUGGGAAGAAAUCCAGCUCCAGAACAGAAACUCAGAUGAUAAGAUGAAGCAGAAACUUCAGUCAAAUAUCACCAAGGAUCUCCUUACACUUAAACAUUGAGGGACUUUUUCCCAUGUACUGCUGUAAGUGCUUCAAUGUUUUGGUGAAAGAAGUUCCAGCCACCAGAUACAGAAACUGCAAUUCUACUAUUGCCUAGGAACAUGAAAUUUCUUCAGCAUGGAAGUUUAUUCUUCAUGGAGUUUGUAGCAGCUGGUCACCACUACAGCCUGGGUUAGACCAAGUGCUGGUGAUCUUUUUCUGCGUUUUACAGAAUUUCUUCAAUAUGCAUUUAGAUUUGCCUCAUACCAUGCACCAAGAAGAAUCAUCAGAUCUAAAUUUCUGUCCAGGAAGGCCAACUGUGAUCCAAUAAGUUCCAAGGACUGUUUGCCCAAGCUGCACUCAAAUAGUUGAGCAAGAGGACAAAACUACUCAACCAAAUGCAAGCAUGCAAAAUAAUGAUAUAUGUUUUAUAUAUAAAAUGUAUGGUUUUAGUUACUUUAGCUAAACAAGGCAAAAAGGAGUGUGGGGGUAGUUUGUUUAUAUAGAGCUCAUUAUCUCUAGUUGAACUAGCUAGCUAAUUAUAGGGGAUUUAGUAAAAAAGAAAAAAUUACAAAGACUGUUUUGCAAAAAAAAAAAAAAAAAAGUAGGCAAAAGGGUAUAUACUGCCCCUUUAACUAGUGAAGUCUAGUAGGCCUAGAUAUUUUGUUUUUUUUAUUAAAAUGCUUAAUACAAAACUGCUUUUGCAAAUACCUCUCAUAACCAAACACAAACAUAUUUCCACAUCUGAAAACUGUGUUUAAAUGCACAGUGAAAGGACUUACUUUGAAAGUACUCUCAGAGGUAUAACCUCUUCUCCAACUCGGUGUCUCUCUUUAUGCUUCUUCUUCCGCUUCCUUUUUACUUUUGGCACUGAUAUUUCUUUCUUAUCCACUGCAUCCUUUUCUUCUUCUGUAGAGAGCUCUGUUUCAUGAACAAUAAGAUGCAGAAACCAUAACAUACCAUACUAUACUAUAAUUAUUAUAUAACACUUGAGAGCUUAUUAUCUUACAUAGAUGCUAAGUGCCAUGCAUCAAGUGUAUUUGCUGUUGCCUUAUAGCAGCCAACCAGUAUUUAGUUUUGAGUAGUAUUAUU